UACGUAGGGUGCAAGCGUUAAUCGGAAUUACUGGGCGUAAAGCGUGCGCAGGCGGUGAUGUAAGACAGAUGUGAAAUCCCCGGGCUCAACCUGGGAACUGCAUUUGUGACUGCAUCGGCUGGAGUGCGGCAGAGGGGGAUGGAAUUCCGCGUGUAGCGGUGAAAUGCGUAGAUAUCUGGAGGAACACCGGUGGCGAAGGCGGCGAUCCUGGACCAACACUGACACUGAUGAGCGAAAGCCAGGGGAGCAAACGGG
rnacentral:rRNA from 1 species